GACGAACGCUGGCGGCGUGCUUAACACAUGCAAGUCGAACGGAAAGGCCCUGCUUUUGUGGGGUGCUCGAGUGGCGAACGGGUGAGUAACACGUGGGUAACCUGCCCUUGACUUUGGGAUAACUUCAGGAAACUGGGGCUAAUACCGGAUAGGAGCUCCUGCUGCAUGGUGGGGGUUGGAAAGUUUCGGCGGUUGGGGAUGGACUCGCGGAUUAUCAGCUUGUUGGUGGGGUAGUGGCUUACCAAGGCUUUGACGGGUAGCCGGCCUGAGAGGGUGACCGGCAACAUUGGGACUGAGAUACGGCCCAGACUCCUACGGGAGGCAGCAGUGGGGAAUAGUGCACAAUGGGCGGAAGCCUGAUGCAGCAACGCCGCGUGCGGGAUGACGGCCUUCGGGUUGUAAACCGCUUUCGCCUGUGACGAAGCGUGAGUGACGGUAAUGGGUAAAGAAGCACCGGCUAACUACGUG
rnacentral:rRNA from 1 species